rnacentral:rRNA from 1 species
GAUGAACGCUGGCGGCGUGCCUAAUACAUGCAAGUCGAGCGAAUGGAUUAAGAGCUUGCUCUUAUGAAGUUAGCGGCGGACGGGUGAGUAACACGUGGGUAACCUGCCCAUAAGACUGGGAUAACUCCGGGAAACCGGGGCUAAUACCGGAUAACAUUUUGAACCGCAUGGUUCGAAAUUGAAAGGCGGCUUCGGCUGUCACUUAUGGAUGGACCCGCGUCGCAUUAGCGAGGUGGAGAGGUAACGGCGCACCAAGGCAACGAGUCGUAGCCGACCUGAGAGGGUGAUCGGCCACACUGGGACUGAGACACGGCCCAGACUCCUACGGGAGGCAGCAGUAGGGAAUCUUCCGCAAUGGACGAAAGUCUGACGGAGCAACGCCGCGUGAGUGGUGAAGGCUUUCGGGUCGUAAAACUCUGUUGUUAGGGAAGAACAAGUGCUAGUUGAAUAAGCUGGCACCUUGACGGUACCUAACCAGAAAGCCACGGCUAACUACGCGCCAGCAGCCGCGGUAA